UAGCUACAGGCUUAACACAUGCAAGUCGAGGGGCAGCAUGAACUUAGCUUGCUAAGUUUGAUGGCGACCGGCGCACGGGUGAGUAACACGUAUCCAACCUUCCGUUUACUCAGGGAUAGCCUUUCGAAAGAAAGAUUAAUACCUGAUAGUAUGGUGAGAUUGCAUGAUAACACCAUUAAAGAUUCAUUGGUAAACGAUGGGGAUGCGUUCCAUUAGGUAGUAGGCGGGGUAACGGCCCACCUAGCCAACGAUGGAUAGGGGUUCUGAGAGGAAGGUCCCCCACAUUGGAACUGAGACACGGUCCAAACUCCUACGGGAGGCAGCAGUGAGGAAUAUUGGUCAAUGGGCGCGAGCCUGAACCAGCCAAGUAGCGUGAAGGAUGAAGGUCCUACGGAUUGUAAACUUCUUUUAUAAGGGAAUAAAGUCGCCUACGUGUAGGCGUUUGUAUGUACCUUAUGAAUAAGCAUCGGCUAACUCCGUGCCAGCAGCCGCGGUAAUACGGAGGAUGCGAGCGUUAUCCGGAUUUAUUGGGUUUAAAGGGAGCGUAGACGGAGGAUUAAGUCAGUUGUGAAAGUUUGCGGCUCAACCGUAAAAUUGCAGUUGAUACUGGUCCCCUUGAGUGCAGUUGAGGCAGGCGGAAUUCGUGGUGUAGCGGUGAAAUGCUUAGAUAUCACGAAGAACCCCGAUUGCGAAGGCAGCCUGCUAAGCUGUAACUGACGUUGAUGCUCGAAAGUGUGGGUAUCAAACAGGAUUAGAUACCCUGGUAGUCCACACGGUAAACGAUGGAUACUCGCUGUUGGCGAUAUACUGUCAGCGGCCAAGCGAAAGCAUUAAGUAUCCCACCUGGGGAGUACGUCGGCAACGGUGAAACUCAAAUGA
rnacentral:rRNA from 1 species